UUAAUGCAUGUUAGAGAUAUAUUAUAAUGGACUAUGCUCAUGAAACAUACCACACACACAAAAAUAUGCAAAAGUGAUGGCCUAAUCUCAUCCAUACUUAUGUUGAUUUUGCAAUCAACUAGCCUUAGGAUGUAGAGAUAUCAUAGGUCCAUGACAUGAAUGCAUAAAGAAGGGGAAUGAGAUGAAGAUGGAGGGGAGGUAGAUCAAACUCAAAUUGGACAAAGGAGGACUUUUACCAAAUUAAAACUAGCCUUAGGAUGUAGAGAUAUCAUAGGUCCAUGACAUGAAUGCAUAAAGAAGGGGAAUGAGAUGAAGAUGGAGGGGAGGUAGAUCAAACUCAAAUUGGACAAAGGAGGACUUUUAC
rnacentral:lncRNA from 1 species